GCCAAUACUAGCCCUAAGCACAACCAACACUAAUACCAAACCAACACACACUAAACCAUUCACCUACACAAAGUAUAGGCGAUAGAAAUUUUAAUCUGGCGCUAUAGACAUAGUACCGUAAGGGAAAGGUAAAAAACCACCCAAGCACAAAACAGCAAGGACUAACUCCUGUACCUUUCGCAUAAUGAAUUAGCUAGAAACAAUUUCACAAAGAGAACUACAAGCCAAACCCCCCGAAACCAGACGAGCUACCCAAAAACAGCUAAAAGAGCGCACCCGCCUAUGUGGCAAAAUAGUGGGAAGAUUUCUGGGUAGAGGUGACAAGCCUACCGAGCCUGGUGAUAGCUGGUUAUCCAAGACAGAAUCUUAGUUCAACCUUAAGCUUACCUACAGAACUAUCUAAUCCCCCUGUAAGCUUAACUGCUAGUCUAAAGAGGGACAGCUCUUUAGACACUAGGAAAAAACCUUACAGAGAGAGUAAAACCCUCAAUCACCAUAGUUGGCUUAAAAGCAGCCAUCAAUUAAGAAAGCGUUCAAGCUCAACACUAACCACCACAAAAAUACCAAACACAUAACUGAACUCCUCACACCACAUUGGAUUAAUCUAUCACCAUAUAGAAGCAAUAAUGCUAGUAUAAGUAACAUGAAUAUUUUCUCCACUGCAUAAGCCUAAAUCGGACCGAAAGCCUCACCGAUAUUUAACAGCCAGGCAUAACAAGCACAAACAAGCCCAUGCCACCUUCACUGUUAACCCAACACAGGCAUGCCCCAAGGAAAGGUUAAAAAAAGUAAAAGGAACUCGGCAAACCCAAACCCCGCCUGUUUACCAAAAACAUCACCUCUAGCAUUACUAGUAUUAGAGGCACUGCCUGCCCAGUGACACACGUUUAACGGCCGCGGUACCCUGACCGUGCAAAGG
rnacentral:rRNA from 1 species